AAUAGAGCGAACAAGGUCUCAAAAAUGUAGCUUCUGCCGGAGGUAGAAGCCUGAGGACGGCUACAAGUUCAAGGUCACCCUGUAGAUAUAGUGAGUUCCAGGCUGGCCAGGGCUACAUAGGGAGAUCUUGGCUCAGCUCUCUUCAUCCUAUAUAUCGUGUUAUUUUAUGUAACUACAGGGAAGCAACCUGGAACUGGAGAGAUGCCUCAGCAGUUAAAAAUACUGACUACUCUUCUAGAGGACCUGGGGUCUGACGCCCUCUUCUGGCGUCCAUAGGUACCGCACAUGUAUGUGGCACCCAGCCAUAAAUGCAGGGUUUCUCCCUGUAGCCCUGGCUGUCCUGAACCUCGCUCUGUAGACUAGGCUGGCUUUGAACCCACAGCUCUGCUGUCUCUGCCUUCUGAGUGCCGGGAAUAAAGGCAUGCACCGCUGCAA